rnacentral:rRNA from 1 species
GCGCACCAGGCGCGAAACCUCCGCAAUACACGAAAGUGUGACGGGCCAUCCCGAGUGCCGUCCGCUGAGGACGGCUUUCCCCAGUGUACAUAGCUGGGGGAAUAAGGAGAGGGCAAGCCUGGUGUCAGCCGCCGCGGUAAUACCAGCUCUCCGAGUGGUGGGGACGCUUAUUGGGCCUAAAGCAUCCGUAGCCGGCUGGGCAAGUCCUCCGUUAAAUCCAACGAUUCAAUCGUUGGGCUGCGGGGGAUACUGUCCAGCUUGGGGGCGGGAGAGGCCGGCGGUAUUCCCGGGGUAGGGGUGAAAUCCUAUAAUCCCGGGAGGACCACCAGUGGCGAAGGCUGUCGGCUAGAACGCGCCCGACGGUGAGGGAUGAAAGCUGGGGGAGCGAACCGGAUUAGAUACCGCGUAGU